UCCCAAUGCCUAAACUUUAAACU
rnacentral:siRNA from 1 species